rnacentral:rRNA from 1 species
UACGUAGGGUGCAAGCGUUGUCCGGCAUUAUUGGGCGUAAAGAGCUUGUAGGCGGUUUGUCGCGUCUGCUGUGAAAUUUCGGGGCUCAACCCCGAACUUGCAGUGGGUACGGGCAGACUAGAGUGUGGUAGGGGAGACUGGAAUUCCUGGUGUAGCGGUGAAAUGCGCAGAUAUCAGGAAGAACACCAAUGGCGAAAGCAGCUUUCUGGGACGGUACUGACGCUGAGACGCGAAAGCGUGGGGAGCGAACGGG